rnacentral:rRNA from 1 species
CACGUAGGCACCAAGCGUUGUCCGGAAUUACUGGGCGUAAAGGGCUCGUAGGCGGCCAACUAAGUCAGACGUGAAAUCCCUCGGCUUAACCGGGGAACUGCGUCUGAUACUGGAUAGCUUGAGUACAGAAGAGGAUCGCGGAAUUCCCGGUGUAGAGGUGAAAUUCGUAGAUAUCGGGAGGAACACCAGUGGCGAAGGCGGCGAUCUGGGCUGAUACUGACGCUGAGGUGCGAAAGCGUGGGGAGCAAACAGG